rnacentral:rRNA from 1 species
ACAAACAGAUUUAUUAAUUUUUUUGGUUGUGGUAAAAUGAUUUAAUUAUAUAUUAUGAAAAUUUUAGGUGAAAUUUAAUUUUCAUAAAUGUUUUAAAUGUAAUUCCACUAAAUUAACUUAAAAACUAGGAUUAGAUACCCUAUUAUUUUUAACCUAAAUUUAUUAGCCUUGUUAUUAACAGUUAAAUUCUCUAAAACAAAAAGAUUUGGCGGUAUUUUAAUCCUGUCAGAGGAACCUGUCCUAUAAUUGAUAUUCCACGGUUGACCAGCUUUUUCUAAAUUUACAUAUCGUUGUAAAAGAUCAUUUUUAUUGGUAAUGUCUAUUAAAUUUUAUUAAAUUUUAAAUCAGAUCAAGGUGUAGUCUAUGAAAUAGAAGAGAUGGGUUACAAUUUAUCAAUAAAUGGAUUUAUUUUUGUAAAAUUUAAUGAAUUUGGAUUUGAAAGUAAUUUUAUAUUCAUUUUUAAAAUGAUUUUGGCUCUAAAAU